rnacentral:rRNA from 1 species
GUUGCUUCGGCGAGCCUGCCUUUUGCUGGGGACGUCAGUCCCCGGGUCCGUGCUGGAGACACCUAUUGUCUGAAGAUUGUAGUCUGAGAUUAAAUAUAAAUUAUUUAAAACUUUCAACAACGGAUCUCUUGGUUCCGGCAUCGAUGAAGAACGCAGCGAAAUGCGAUACGUAAUGUGAAUUGCAGAAUUCAGUGAAUCAUCGAGUCUUUGAACGCACAUUGCGCCCUCUGGUAUUCCGGAGGGCAUGCCUGUCCGAGCGUCAUUGCUGCCCUCAAGCACGGCUUGUGUGUUGGGCCCCGUCCUCCUUCGGGGGACGGGUCCGAAAGGCAGCGGCGGCACCGCGUCCGGUCCUCAAGCGUAUGGGGCUUUGUCACUCGCUUUGUAGGCCUGGCCGGCGCUUGCCGAUCAACCAAACUUUUUAUCAGGUGACCUCGAUCAGGUAGG